rnacentral:rRNA from 1 species
AACGAACGCUGGCGGCAGGCUCAACACAUGCAAGUCGAACGCAUCGCAAGAUGAGUGGCAGACGGGUGAGUAACGCGUGGGAAUCUACCUAGUUCUACGGAACAACAGUUGGAAACGACUGCUAAUACCGUAUACGCCCUAAGGGGGAAAGAUUUAUCGGAAUUAGAUGAGCCCGCGUAAGAUUAGCUAGUUGGUGGGGUAAUGGCCUACCAAGGCGACGAUCUUUAGCUGGUCUGAGAGGAUGAUCAGCCACACUGGGACUGAGACACGGCCCAGAGUCCUACGGGAGGCACCAGUGGCGAAUAUUGGACAAUGGGCGCAAGCCUGAUCCAGCCAGGCCGCGUGAGUGAUGAAGGCCUUAGGGUUGUAAAGCUCUUUCACCGAUGAAGAUAAUGACGGUAGUCGGAGAAGAAGCACCGGCUAACUUCGUGCCAUCCGCCGCCGUAAUAC